rnacentral:rRNA from 1 species
AUUGAACGCUGGCGGCAGGCCUAACACAUGCGAGUCGAGCGGAUGAAGGGAGCUUGCUCCUGGAUUCAGCGGCGGACGGGUGAGUAAUGCCUAGGAAUCUGCCUGGUAGUGGGGUAUAACGUCCGGAAACGGGCGCUAAUACCGCAUACGUCCUGAGGGAGAAAGUGGGGGAUCUUCGGACCUCACGCUAUCAGAUGAGCCUAGGUGGGAUUAGCUAGUUGGUGGGGUAAAGGCCUACCAAGGCGACGAUCCGUAACUGGUCUGAGAGGAUGAUCAGUCACAUUGGAACGGAGACACGGACAAGACUACUAAGGGAGGCAGCAGAGGGGAAUAUUGGACAAUGGGCGAAAGCAUGAUCCAGCGAGGCGGCGUGUGUUAAGAAGGUGCUGGGAUUGGAAAGAAGGUUAAGGGGGGGGGAAGCGCAGUAAGCUGUGACCUUGCGGGUGUGACGGUACCAAGAGAAUAAGCACCGGCUAACUACGUG